CCUACGGGCGGCAGCAGUGGGGAAUAUUGCACAAUGGGGGAAACCCUGAUGCAGCAACGCCGCGUGGGUGAAGGAGCGUUUCGGCGCGUAAAGCCCUGUCAGCGGGGAAGAAGAAAGACGGUACCCGACCAAGAAGCCCCGGCUAACUACGUGCCAGCAGCCGCGGUAAUACGUAGGGGGCGAGCGUUAUCCGGAAUGACGGGGUGUAAGGGGAUCGUAGACGGGGAGGUAGGCAUGGAGUGGAAGCCCGCGGCCCAACCGCUGAACUGCCUUGGGAACUGUUUUGCUGGAGUAUGGGAGGGGUAAGAGGAAUGCGUGGUGUAGCGGUGAAAUGCGUAGAUAUCAGGAGGAACACCGGUGGCGAAGGCGGCUUACUGGACCAUAACUGACGUUGAGGCUCGAAAGCGUGGGGAGCGAACAGGAUUAGAUACCCUUGUAGUC
rnacentral:rRNA from 1 species